rnacentral:ncRNA from 1 species
AAAAUAGAGGUGCAUAUAUGUAGGUAGUGUGAAGAUGUUAAGGUAUAAGCCACCAAUGCUUCAUCACAAAGGGCAUAGUUGCCGAAAGAAAAUUAAUUGCUUAUGACUAAUUUUCUUGGUCAAUGUCAACAAGCAUUGACUGUCAUAUUCGUUGAAUAUGGAGAGCUAUUUA